CCUACGGGAGGCAGCAGUGGGGAAUAUUGGACAAUGGGGGGAACCCUGAUCCAGCGACGCCGCGUGAGUGAAGAAGUACUUCGGUAUGUAAAGUUCUAUCAGCAGGGAGGAAAAUGACGGUACUUGACUAAUAAGCACCGGCUAACUACGUGCCAGCAGCCGCGGUAAUACGUAGGGGGCAAGCGUUAUCCGGUUAUACUGGGUGUAAAGGUAGCGUAGACGGUUGAGCAAGUCUGAUGUGAAAGGUCUGGGCCCAACCCCGGGACUGCAUUGGAGACUGUUGAACUGGAGUACAGGAGAGGUAAGUAGAAUUCCUAGUGUAGCGGUGAAAUGCGUAGAGAUUAGGAAGAACACCAGUGGCGAAGGCGGAUUACUGGACGACGACUGACGGUGAGGCGCGAAAGCGUGGGGAGCAAACAGGAUUAGAUACCCGAGUAGUC
rnacentral:rRNA from 1 species